AGCAAGUGGAGAUAGACGACGAUAAAUAGAUUUGUACGAAAAGAAAAGAAGCUAGAAGCGAAGCGUGGAAUAUCGGUAUUUGCCGAGCUGUGAGAACAUCUAAAUUUUUGAAUGGAUGAAAACAUCUUACAACAUGCACAGGCUGUCCUAAGAUACUAUGAAAGGAGGAUUGUUAGAGAGUCUAACUCAACAGGAAUAUGCCAACCAGAACUGCAGUUAGGAGUCAUUGGCAGGAGGAACCUUUGUGACUUGUACGAAGAUGAAGCUUUCAAGCACAGAAUUGCUUUUCUAAAGAGACCACUCGCUACCUUAUCAUCAUGCUUGAAGGUGAUCUGAGCCUGAGGAGGGACGAAGGGCCUAGUGAUCGACUACCUUUGUUUCUGCAAGUAUUGACAAUUCUGCGUUUGUAUGCUGAUAAUUUCAGGGAAUACAGGGUGAUGAGGCAUCAGUGUUGCAAUCAUCUGUUUGUUGAGUGAUCAGAUGUUUCGCAAGCCAUAGCCAGAAGAAAGGUUUUGUGAGAACUUGAGAUUGAGGCUACCCAACAACAACUGUUUGAGUACCAGUACAGUACUACAGGAAUUCAAGAGUCAUAGGUGUGUUCGAUGGGACCCAUGUCUACAUAUCCUGGAGGGAAACAAGCUUUGUACUUUCUUGAUGGGCAAGUCCACCCAACAAAAAGUUUAUUUUGAUAUAAUAGAGAAAACUCCAAUGAGCAUAACACUGAAAAUUUGAUGUAAAAUGAGAAAGUUCUGACAUCUUGAAGUUUCGCUUAUUUUCACAAAACAGAUAUAUAUGCACAUCCUGGUCAUUAUGCAAAUGAGUGACCAAGUGACGUUCUCCACUCACUGUUUCUUUUUUUGUAAUAUAUCAUGAAAUAUGAUUUUUUUUUUCUCAUAAUGGCUAAUACAGGUGUAUGGUUUGAUUUCUCCCUGAAACUUGUGUAAAAAGACAAUGUGGCAACCUAUACUCAAUUGUGAAUUCUGUAAAAAAUCAAGUAUUAUAAUAUAUUUCAUAUAUUGAUAUACAGAAGAAAGAGUGAGUGUGUGACGUCAUAGACUUGUUUGCAUAUCACCUGUUUUGUGCAUAUAAGUGAUUUUUGUGAGUACCGCUAAUUAAUUUCUUAUUUUACAUCCUAUUUUGACGUUUUCAGUGUCAUGCAUGUUUUAUUUUUCUCUAUCCAUUCACAUUAACUUUUUGUUGUACAGUGGACUUGCUCUAGAACAGGUAUUUUCUGUAAUGUACAAGUAAGAAUUUCAUUAUUCAUUUGUGUCUUCUUUUUAACACCAGGCAUCGUAACUUUGAUCUCAAGAGAUGUGCAAGACUUCAAAGUAAAAAGUCGGCGAGCAGCACGGUCGUUAAAUUUCGCACAGCGGAAUGGUUGUGGAAUAUGUUGAGG